CCGGCGGCAGAAGAAGGAGGUGAAGGAGCAGCACGUGAAGGAGGUGCUCGGCCAGUGCACCCACAUCCACCAGAGGCGCGAGGAGAUGGCCGACAAGAUCCAGAAGAUCUCCGGCCAGACGCAGCAGCUGAGGGCCGAGAUCAAGAGCCUGAGGGACGUCUGCGGCGAGGAGACGGAGAAAGCCCAGGCCAUCUACAACACCCUGUCCGCUGCC